GCACAGCACAGACAGAACGGUAUUAUUCUUAUUAUUAUUAUUGUAAGACAAUAAAACUAGCUCUUUAAUCAAUAACAAUAAUUAGAAGCUAGAUUUACUUACCGGGUAUAUUUAUUUCGUUUCUAAAUAAGUUAUGUCUAUUGAAAAAUAUAUGUACUAGGACUAAGCGAUCCAGUAUCUUACGUGCCUGUAUUUGUCAACUGAAAUAUAGCCCAUCUUAUAAAAAAAUCUUGAUAUCAAAACAAAAGACAAAAUGCGAUAAAUAUAUAAAAUUAAUCUAAGUUUUGAAGUGGCAUUAUUGUAAUUCCGACCACUGGUCAAACUCUUUAUACGUACUAUUGUUAAACGGUAACUUUGACCUAAAUAUAUUAUGUCACACGGUUUUAUCAGCGCGCAUUAUCAACGCUUACAUUGGAUCAAAUAACGAAACGUAUCGAUUACGUUAUGAUUGAGUAGUCUGGGUUAUUGUGAUCGGCUAAUAUGGGUGGACGAGCUCGCAGCUCGCAUGUUUUUAAGUAGAGCCUGUAGUCUCCUGCGUUACGUAGCCACGUGUAUUAUUAGUAUUAUUUUCCUACUUAAGCUGAUUGCUUUGAAUGGCCAUUUAAGUGUAAUCCUAACAAGUAGGUGAGGCUAUUCCAGCUACGCCCUGAAGGGUAGGUGUGCUCACGGGCUCACCCUGAGAGAAUUCGCUAACACUAGCCCUAGCAAGAGCAUUGCUUCUUUUUCUUUUUUUCUUUCCUAUGCUGAUACCCUUGAGAGGCUAUUUCAGCUUCGCCCUGACAUGUAGGUGAGCUCACGGGGCUCAAACCUGACGACGUUGGUAACACUGACCCUAGCAAGAGCCGUGCUUCGCAGAAUCUACCACCGGAUCGGAAACGCGACCCACUGAGAAGAUUCGGCAAGAAACUCAGUGGGCUGUGUCUGUGGGUUAAUUUACUUGCUGAGCCCUUCGUCACAAGCGACGGGUUCGACGAGAACGAUGACCGGUGCUUGAGGUACCUAAAAGCACCGUUAGUGGAUCGUGUAUUCGAAACGAAACAGGUGUUCCGGACAUGAGCCCGAUUGUCCAUCUCAUCAAAAAAACAAAUAAAAAUAAACAAAAACACGAGAGUGUCAAGCGUAAAAUUAUUUUAUGAAUCAGAAAACAAUAAAUAUGCAAAUUUAUAAGUAAAAGGAAAUAAAAACAUCGCUUGAUCUCUUUCUGGCCCAGUUUUUCUACACGUUCAUGAUUUUAUUGUUGACUUAACUAUGCAAACGUUCGUUUUAUUCAAUUCCUAGAAUACACCUGCAGAUAUACGUACAUACAUACGUUUCUCGGCGAGUCUUAUCUAUAUAUUAUAUAAAAAUGAAUUGCUGUUCGUUAGUCUCACUAAAACUCGAGAGCGGCUGGACCGAUUUGGCUAAUUGUGGUCUCGAAUUAUUCGUGGAAAUCCAGGGAAGGUUUAAAAGGUAGAUAAAUAUGAAAAUGCUCGGAAUUAAAUAAAAAUAACAA